rnacentral:rRNA from 1 species
GGGCCUCGUAAGCUGAUCAGGCUCCGGCCGAUCCUCCCACCCUUUGUGUACCUACCUCUGUUGCUUUGGCGGGCCGCGGUCCUCCGCGGCCGCCCCCCUCCCCGGGGGGUGGCCAGCGCCCGCCAGAGGACCAUCAAACUCCAGUCAGUAAACGAUGCAGUCUGAAAAACAUUUAAUAAACUA